rnacentral:rRNA from 1 species
GAACGAUCCUAGCUUGCUAGGAGGCGUCGAGCGGCGGACGGGUGAGUAAUGCAUAGGAAUCUACCCAGUCGUGGGGGAUAACCUGAGGAAACUCAGGCUAAUACCGCAUACGUCCUACGGGAGAAAGCGGGGGCUCUUCGGACCUCGCGCGAUUGGAUGAGCCUAUGUCGGAUUAGCUUGUUGGUAAGGUAACGGCUUACCAAGGCGACGAUCCGUAGCUGGUCUGAGAGGAUGAUCAGCCACACCGGGACUGAGACACGGCCCGGACUCCUACGGGAGGCAGCAGUGGGGAAUAUUGGACAAUGGGCGAAAGCCUGAUCCAGCCAUGCCGCGUGUGUGAAGAAGGCUUUCGGGUUGUAAAGCACUUUCAGCGAGGAAGAAAGCGUGCCGGCCAAUACCCGGUACGGACGACAUCACUCGCAGAAGAAGCACCGGCUAACUCCGUGCCAGCAGCCGCGGUAAUACGGAGGGUGCAAGCGUUAAUCGGAAUUACUGGGCGUAAAGCGCGCGUAGGCGGCGUGUCACGCCGGGUGUGAAAGCCCCGGGCUCAACCUGGGAACGGCAUCCGGAACGGGCAGGCUAGAGUGCAGGAGAGGAAGGUAGAAUUCCCGGUGUAGCGGUGAAAUGCGUAGAGAUCGGGAGGAAUACCAGUGGCGAAGGCGGCCUUCUGGACUGACACUGACGCUGAGGUGCGAAAGCGUGGGUAGCAAACAGGAUUAGAUACCCUGGUAGUCCACGCCGUAACGAUGUCGACUAGCCGUUGGGUCCCUUGAGGACUUAGUGGCGCAGUUAACGCGAUAAGUCGACCGCCUGGGGAGUACGGCCGCAAGGUUAAAACUCAAAUGAAUUGACGGGGGCCCGCACAAGCGGUGGAGCAUGUGGUUUAAUUCGAUGCAACGCGAAGAACCUUACCUACCCUUGACAUCCUGCGAACCCGGGAAGAGAUUCCCGGGUGCCUUUCGGGAGCGCAGAGACAGG